AGUUCUGGAGAACGCCAUCAGCUCGCUGCUUAAAAUUAAACCACAGGUUCCAUUAUGGGUCGACUUGAUGGGAAAGUCAUCAUCCUGACAGCCGCUGCUCAGGGGAUUGGCCAAGCAGCUGCCUUAGCUUUUGCAAGAGAAGGUGCCAAAGUCAUAGCCACAGACAUUAAUGAGUCCAAACUUCAGGAACUGGAAAAGUACCCAGGUAUUCAAACUCGUGUCCUUGAUGUCACAAAGAAGAAACAAAUUGAUCAGUUUGCCAAUGAAGUUGAGAGACUUGAUGUUCUCUUUAAUGUUGCUGGUUUUGUCCAUCAUGGAACUGUCCUGGAUUGUGAGGAGAAAGACUGGGACUUCUCGAUGAAUCUCAAUGUGCGCAGCAUGUACCUGAUGAUCAAGGCAUUCCUUCCUAAAAUGCUUGCUCAGAAAUCUGGCAAUAUUAUCAACAUGUCUUCUGUGGCUUCCAGCGUCAAAGGUGGGUCUGUCUCCUUCUGAGGACUGUGAUGCUCAUACACACACAUCAUUAAGAGCUCUGCGUUUGGGAACAGGCAUAGCAGAGAUUAUAAUUUCAAGUAUUGAAAUGAUUUCAAAACUGCUUUUUUCAAAAUUGGUAUUAAGUUCCUUAACCACAGAUCUUUUGCUCUCGAUGUGAGCCAGUGGUAAAAUUAAAUUAAAAUGUGGGGUAUUUUUGCCCUCCCUUUUAUUCUUUCUAAUGGACAUGGAAAUGAACAUCAAACUGGGAGAAAGAACCAUUUAACAUUUAAUUAAUUUAAAAUAGUGUAUUGAGCACCGGUAUGUGCUCUGGCCAUAAAAGAAUUCACAGUCCAAAACUAGGAGCAAGGCAGCAAACAUCAUCUUCCCCAGUGUGAUGAUAUAUAACAGAGGUUUGUACAAAGCGCUGUCAAAAUACAGGGAAAUAACUGCCUGUGAGUUUGUGGAAUGCUUCACAAAGACAGUUGAUCUGAGCCAUCAGCGAGAAGUCAAGUUGAAGGACAAGGACAGCAGUGCAAAAUGUGGAUUAUGUCACAAUCUGGCAUAGUUGGAUCUGUGAGUUUAAAAUGAAAUAGUUACUGCUGAGAUAACAUUUCUUCUCUUUGCAAGGAUACACAUAUUCAACAUACACAAGAGAGGAAUGUAAAGAAGUGCCUAGGCCUCCUGUUUUAUUGUUUUGUUUUGUUAUUAAUCUUCAUUUUCUUUUGGAAUCUGCCUAAGAGUUAUGGCAACUGAUGAUGAGAAACUAAGACUACCAAUGUUAAGAGUUGUGAACAGAUGUGUGUACAGCACAACCAAGGCAGCCGUGAUUGGCCUCACAAAAUCUGUGGCUGCAGAUUUCAUCCAGCAGGGCAUCAGGUGCAACUGUGUGUGCCCAGGAACAGUUGAUACGCCAUCUCUACAAGAAAGAAUACAAGCUAGAGGAAAUCCUGAAGAGGCACGGAAUGAUUUCCUGAAGAGACAAAAGACGGGAAGAUUCGCAACUGCAGAAGAAAUAGCCAUGCUCUGCGUGUAUUUGGCUUCUGAUGAAUCUGCUUAUGUAACUGGUAACCCUGUCAUCAUUGAUGGAGGCUGGAGCUUGUGAUUUUAGGAUCUCCAUGGUGGGAAGGAAGGCAGGCCCUUCCUAUCCACAGUGAACCUGGUUACGAAGAAAACUCACCAAUCAUCUCCUUCCUGUUAAUCGCAUGUUAAUGAAAAUAAGCUCUUUUUAAUGAUGUCACUGUUUGCAAGAGUCUGAUUCUUUAAGUAUAUUA
rnacentral:sRNA from 1 species